AUUGAACGCUGGCGGCAGGCCUAACACAUGCAAGUCGAACGAGUGGCGGACGGGUGAGUAAUUUCUGGGAAACUGCCUGAUGGUGGGGGAAAACUCCUGGAAACGGUAGCUAAUACCGCAUACCAUCAGAUUGGCCCAGAUGGGUUUGGCUUGUUGGUGGGGUAACGGCUCACCAAGGCGACGAUCCGUAGCGGGUCUGAUAGGAUGACCAGCCAAACGGGAACGGGGACACGGUCCAGACUCCUACGGGAGGCAGCAGUGGGGAAUAUUGCACAAUGGGCGCAAGCCUGAUGCAGCCAUGCCGCGUGUAUGAAGAAGGCCUUCGGGUUGUAAAGUACUUUCAGCGGGGAGGCGUUACCGGCAGAAGAAGCACCGGCUAACUCCGUGCCAGCAGCCGCGGUAAUAC
rnacentral:rRNA from 1 species